UUCUUCAACCUUUCCUCUUCCCUUUCUCACUUGCUCUCUUUGUGGGAGGUGGCGGUGGCGGUAGCAGAGGGGCUACACCCGUUUUCACUGAUUUCCAACACUGUCUACGUGUGAACAAGAGAAGCGGAGAGAAGCUAAAGCUGCUUUCUUAUUAACAGCUGGUGACAGUCCCUUUACACAGUGCGUGUUGCAUUUCUUAGCCGAGGUAGAAAGGAAUGAAAGAGGAAGGCGGUUAUUUAAAGUUUAACAUUACAGAUGAAUUACAAGGAUAUUCUGAGGCUCACAGUCCCCCUCAGCAACUCUGCGAGCCCCGAGGCUGGCCUCGCCACACCUUUGCAAGCAACUAUUUUAGGCAAGUGUGCUCAUCGGGUUCGGGAGGACGACAGCUCCAAGUAAUUCUGGGAUGCAGGUUUCGCACCACAGGAUGCCAGCGGGAUCCAGUGAAGGUUAUGGACUGUCUAGCCUGAACUCCAUCUGUGCCCUGAAGUUUCCUCUUGGCUGGGCACCACUGAAGGACCAGAAGCAGCCAGUAGGAAGCAGUAGGCACAGGGGCUCAUGGGGAAUUCAAGCCAUCUGAACGUGGCACUCAGUUUUUUAAGAUAACGUUUUUUAAACACUGUGAACAUAUUGCACCCAAUUAUAAUUGUGUUAUGUACUCCAUGCCGUGCUAUGAGUGCAUGCCUCCUCCCAGCUACGGAGGGGCAAAUACGACAUACAUACAAGUGCGCUGUGUUCUCCUAGGUAGCUUCUCCCAGCCUGUGUAUCGUGGUAGUAUUUGCGUGCCUCCCAGUAGGGCACUGAACUGUGUGGCUAACAUCUGCCACGUGCUGUUUGUUCUGUCCUCCUCUCCCAAGGAAGGAGGUGAGUGUACUGGAGCAUCUUGCUUUUGCGGCACAUUUGUUCAGCUUUUGCUCUCCCUGCAUGCAGAGCCAUGUAUUUGCAUUAGCGAAAGUAAGGGCACAGAAAUGUGUCCUGCAAUUGAAAAUGCCUUUAUUUCAGUAAGGGGAAUUACGGGUAAUUAAGUCAAAUUAAAAAGGGAACGGAGACUUGAUUUUCUUUAUUCUCAGCAUACUCUGUUUGACAAAUGGGUCUUAACCACAGAUGACAGUAUUAGCUUCAGCCUCUCAGACAAGGAAAUCUUGGCUGCUAUUCCCUCUGCCCAUUUAUCUACAAUAAAUUUAAAGACACAUGUUCCCCUUCCUGGACAAACACUCUUCAACUCUUUCAUUUACCUAACAGUAGAAUAUGCUUGAAAUCUUUUUAUCUGUGCCCCUUUUCCCUUUCUUUGAAUGGGCAGCUUUCUACACUAUACCCUCCAUGGACCUUGCCAAACACUACCAGUUUCUGUACACAGCUCUGUUCCGUGGCAGUUUGGGUCUGCAAACUGAAAUGUCAUUUCUUGAGUCUAGAGGUGCUCUGUCUCAUCCUGCACUUGCUGGUUUGGUGAUGUGAUAAAAAGGAAACACAGGUUCACAAAAUCAUUACAGGAAACAAAUAAUGCCUUUAAUCCUGGAAGUGUUCAGCCCAGCGGCAGCAAAGCUGAGACUUUCCUGACCUCCAUCAUAGCGCUCCAAAGAAGGUCAGGAUCCAGCCUGUGCUGAUGGAGCCUGGAUUUGGAAUGCUUUGGAGAUGUGCUCUAGUGAGAUCUGUUCUACAUUUCUGAGGUCCAGCGUGGCAUGUAGCCGUUCUGUGCAUUCAACAACCAUUAAAAGACUCAGUCCCCAAGGUUUGCAAGAAUGUAAGACUGAAGUUACUUCUUUAUGACUGUUCUUUCAAUGUUAAAAUGCUUUUAGAGGAGGAAAAAUGCAGCAAUAAUGGGGAAUAACCGAACAUCAGGACAGGGAAAUGCCAAAUGCACUCUACAGUUGACCUGGGGCUGAUGGAGGAAUGUCAGUCGAGCCUGGCUGCAGGCAUGCUGCAGGGUGGUGAGAGGGGGCUCCUGAAGUGGCCUCACAGCUCUGGGACAGACCUUCAUUGCUGGACACCCCCCUUGCCCUCCAUGGCCUCCCAACCUGGCCUCGCACCCUGCUGUGCCCUGCUGCCCAUCAGCCUGCCUGCUGCUCCUGCGGAGGGCAGGAGUCAGCACGGCUCUUCCCUGCCUCCCCCUAGACAUGUUUGUCUUAAAUACAGCGUUUUUUCCCUUGGGCUGCCACAGAUUUUCCACCCCUGCAGCCAACCAACGGCUGGUAAGGGACGUUCAUUAGCGGCCAUGAGGAAGGUCGUGUCUCCCAGUGCCUGGCCUUUCUGGUGAGGGAGGGCAGGCAGCAGCUUCGUGUAAAAUGCCAAACAACCUUCCUUGUUUUCCUUGGUUGCCAGGGUAGGAAUCGACAUUGUCCCCAGCGGAGCACAAGGACUCCCCGUGACAUGGUGGGGACAAUGGGAAGGUAUGUUUUCUUGACCUGCUGCAGGAAAUCCUGUGCGUCUUGCCAGGGAACACAGCAUUUUCCUGCCUUGUCUGUGGCCGAGCCGCAGCUCCAGGGGCCUGCAGCAGCCUGCUUGAAAAUGCUGUGUUUUGAAUCUCUCUUAAACUUUAACAGAAUCAGCCCCAUUUGGUGCCCAGGCAGACUAGGGUGCUGUGAAGCCACGGCUGGUGCACUGCAGCAGUGCUGGGUGCUGGUAGGGAGGCAGCCUCAUCCCUCUGGGGUUGAGGGGAUGAUGCAUGCCGAAAACAGCGCUGAGCAUCGCUGCUAUUACCUGGUGCCAGUUGUAGGGGCGAUGCUGUCUCUCCUGCCUGGAGCUGAGCCGAUCGUUUCCACUCCGCAUUACUGCUGCUGUUGAUUAACUGGUUUUGAUUUUUUUAAAGGAACAAUUCAGAAAGUGACGCAUUACUUCUGCCUGUGGACAGAGGGAACAGCUGAAACGUGGGAGUCCAGACUACAGCUGUGUGACUACAGCUUUAAAAAAAAAAAAAACAACCAAAACCACAUAUUUUAGUGAAUAAAAACUACUGAUUCCCUC